AAGUCGUAACAAGGUUUCCGUAGGUGAACCUGCGGAAGGAUCAUUAUCGAGUUAGGGUCCUCGGGGCCCGACCUCCAACCCUUGUGUCUACCUAACCACGUUGCUUCGGCGGGCCCGUCUCACGACCGCCGGGGGGUGAACCACCCCCUGGCCCGCGCCCGUCGAUGGCCUCCAAUUCAAACUCUGUAUAACUGUGUUGUCUGAGUACCAAAAACAAAAAAUUAAAAGCAAAACUUUCAACAACGGAUCUCUUGGUUCUG
rnacentral:misc_RNA from 2 species